AUCAAUAAGCGGAGGAAAAGAAACCAACAGGGAUUGCCCUAGUAACGGCGAGUGAAGCGGCAACAGCUCAAAUUUUGAAAUCUGGCUCUCUUUGGGGGUCCGAGUUGUAAUUUGCAGAGGAUGCUUUGGCAUUGGCGGCGGUCUAAGUUCCUUGGAACAGGACAUCGCAGAGGGUGAGAAUCCCGUACGUGGGCGCCUGCCUUUGCCGUGUAAAGCUCCUUCGACGAGUCGAGUUGUUUGGGAAUGCAGCUCUAAAUGGGAGGUAAAUUUCUUCUAAAGCUAAAUACCGGCCAGAGACCGAUAGCGCACAAGUAGAGUGAUCGAAAGAUGAAAAGUACUUUGGAAAGAGAGUCAAAAAGCACGUGAAAUUGUUGAAAGGGAAGCGCUUGCAGCCAGACUUGCCCGCAGUUGCUCACCUAGGCUUUGGCCUGGGGCACUCUUCUGCGGGCAGGCCAGCAUCAGUUUGGGCGGUCGGACAAAGGCCUCUGUCAAGUAUCUCCCUUCGGGGUGACCUUAUAGGGGAGGCGUAAUGCGACCAGCCCGGACUGAGGUCCGCGCAUCUGCUAGGAUGCUGGCGUAAUGGCUGUAAGCGGCCCGUCUUGAAACACGGACCAAGGAGUCUAACAUCUAUGCGAGUGUUUGGGUGUCAAGCCCGGGCGCGCAAUGAAAGUGAACGGAGGUGGGAACCCUUUGGGUGCACCAUCGACCGAUCCUGAUGUCUUCGGAUGGAUUUGAGUAAGAGCAUAGCUGUUGGGACCCGAAAGAUGGUGAACUAUGCUUGAAUAGGGUGAAGCCAGAGGAAACUCUGGUGGAGGCUCGCAGCGGUUCUGACGUGCAAAUCGAUCGUCAAAUUUGGGCAUAGGGCGAAAGACUAAUCGAACCAUCUAGUAGCUGGGUUCCUGC
rnacentral:sRNA from 1 species